ensembl:lncRNA
UUUUUUUUAGAGCUGGAUGCAAAAUUGUUGCUAGACACCCUGCUUCAGCCGGUCCAUCCACAUCGCUGACAUUUUUUGGGGUAACGAGUAAAUUACACAAGAGGACAAACGUUAUUGCUCCUUUAACACUGACGAAUCCAGCAGAGCCGAUCUACUAUUUAUGUUCUUACAUUUUGAGGUCAGACUCACCAAGCCAAACCGCAAUCUGAAGUGGUUUCUGAGAAUUACCCACCCAUGAAGUAGCUCAGAGCGACCCCGCCUAAAGGGAAGGAAUGGGAGGAGCUGCCUUUGACCCCCGUUGCUAUGGAUGAUGUCAGCAUUGAGACGCCUCAUGAAUACUUCCUGCUGUGGAGGGAUCAGGGGUUUCUUAACCUUGGAUGGGAAAGGAGAUUAACUCCUUUUAUAUACUGAAAACAUGAAGAGAGACACGUGGAAUAGGUUUAACCGCCAUAUAUUUAUACCUAAUUUAAUACUGAGAUAUUAAAGGAAGAUUUUGUCUAGUGACGAGAUAGUGCAACAAACUUCUGUUAAGAUCUAUACUUAAAUCAUCUUAAAAUAGAAAUGAGCUGGAAACUCAUUGGAUAUGAACGAAUUCAUUCAUUUAGUCAUGCGCUUUCUAUCGAGGACAUGUGGAAAAACGGGUAUCUUCAAUUUCUUUACUAAUGAAAUUUCCAUUGAAGGCCUAUAAAUAAAAUGUACUUUUUUUUCGAAAUAUUACAUUACACUUAUUUGUGUGUAUUAAAUGUCACCACCACUGGCUUUGUUAUCGUGGUCUGAAUCAACUGACCUUUUGGUAUAUUGGUGCUUAACGAUACGGAGAAAUAAAGUUGCCUCGGCAACAAGCGG